CCCUUAGAUGUCCUGGGCCGCACGCGCGUUACACUGAUGCAUUCAACGAGCUUAUAACCUUGGCCGAGAGGCCUGGGCAAUCUUGUUAACGUGCAUCGUGAUAGGGAUAGAUUAUUGAAAUUAUUAAUCUUGAACGAGGAAUUCCUAGUAAACGCAGAUCAUCAAUCUGCAUUGAUUACGUCCCUGCCCUUUGUACACACCGCCCGUCGCACCUACCGAUUGGAUGGUCCGGUGAAGCCUCGGGAUUGUGGUUCUUGCCGCUUUAUUGUGGCGUGACCGCGAGAACUUUUCUAAACCUUAUCAUCUAGAGGAAGGUGAAGUCGUAACA
rnacentral:rRNA from 1 species